AAGUAAGAAAGGGCGCACGGCGGAUGCCUAGGCUCUCGGAGGCGAUGAAGGACGUGGCAAGCUGCGACAAGCCGCGGGGAGGUGCAAGCAACCUUUGAUCCGCGGAUAUCCGAAUGGGACAACCCGGUGCCCUGAAGGGGCAUCAUCCCGCACAGCGGGAGGCUAACGCAGGGAACUGAAACAUCUUAGUACCUGCAGGAAAAGAAAAUAACAAUGAUUCCCCCAGUAGUGGCGAGCGAACGGGGAAGAGCCCAAACCCGCCCUGUUACGGCAGGACGGGGGUUGUAGGACUGCGGCAUCGCAUGAACGAUGGCGAGCGGAACGCUCUGGAAAGAGAGACCAUAGACGGUGAUAGUCCGGUACGCGAAGCCAUGGGAAGCGUAGCAGUAUCCUGAGUAACGCGGGACACGUGAAAUCCUGCGCGAAUCA
rnacentral:rRNA from 16 species